rnacentral:rRNA from 1 species
UACGGGGGGAGCAAGCGUUGUUCGGAUUUACUGGGCGUAAAGGGCGCGUAGGCGGUCGUGACAAGUCACUUGUGAAAUCCCCGGGCUCAACCCGGGAACUGCGUCCGAUACUGGUUGGCUUGAAUCCGGGAGAGGGAUGCGGAAUUCCAGGUGUAGCGGUGAAAUGCGUAGAUAUCUGGAGGAACACCGGUGGCGAAGGCGGCAUCCUGGACCGGCAUUGACGCUGAGGCGCGAAAGCCAGGGGAGCAAACGGG